rnacentral:rRNA from 1 species
GGAUUAGAUACCCUGGUAGUCCACGCCGUAAACGCUGUCUACUAGCUGUGUGCGAUUUCAUUAUUGUGCGUAGCGAAGCUAACGCGCUAAGUAGACCGCCUGGGGAGUACGGCCGCAAGGUUAAAACUCAAAUGAAUUGACGGGGGCCCGCACAAGCGGUGGAGCAUGUGGUUUAAUUCGAUGCAACGCGAAGAACCUUACCUACACUUGACAUGCAGAGAACUUUCUAGAGAUAGAUUGGUGCCUUCGGGAACUCUGACACAGGUGCUGCAUGGCUGUCGUCAGCUCGUGCUG